rnacentral:lncRNA from 1 species
AGAAUGUAUCAAGUGCGAGUAGCGUGGGUAAUUGUUGCUUUAAGAAAAAGAAGUCUCACAAUAUUCAAUGUUCCAUAAUAAAAAAAAAAAUCGCAACAUGUUUUAUUUCUAAAAAUCAACCGAACCACAUAUUUUUUUCCUCUUACGAUUCGAAUGAUAUUUAUUAUCAUAACCGCUCAAACCGCACCGCAGAAACCCUAAUUUUAUAUAAUAUCUUCUUAAUUUUUAUGUUAAUAUGUUUGAACUAUUCCCUAACCUGAUUUUCCAAUUUCAAAUUUUCAAUUAU